rfam:Inquilinus limosus MP06 Ilimosus_MP06_contig00328, whole genome shotgun sequence.
ACACCUCUCCUUGGGGAGAGGUCGAGAUCGCGCAGUGAUUUCGGGUGAGGGG